rnacentral:lncRNA from 1 species
GAGCUCUACGGCGCUGGAGGAGAGUCAAUCCAAGCAAAGGUUGUAGGGACAUAUAUGUUAAAGUUACCUUCUGGAAAGAUCUUAGAGCUAGAAAACUGUUAUUAUAUGCCUAAGAUCAUUAGAAAUAUUAUUUCUGUAUCGUUACUAUUGCAACGAGGUUAUGAAAUAAACGGAAAGAGCAAUAGUUGCUCAAUUUCUUUUUCUAAUGAAAUUAUCUGU